GGGCUGAGAGGUCGGCCGGCCACAUCGGAACUGAGACACUGUCCGGACUCCUACGGGGGGCUGCAGUAAUGAAUCUUCCGCAAUGCACGCAAGUGUGACGGAGCGACGCCGCGUGUGGGAUGAAGUCCUUCGGGAUGUAAACCACUGUCAGUGGAAAGAAAUUUUUGAUCUACCACAAAGGAAGUAGCGACUAACUCUGUGCCAGCAGUCGCGGUAAUACAGAGGCUACAAGCGUUAGGCGGAAUCACUGGGCUUAAAGCGUGUGUAGGCGGGAUGGUAAGUACCUUGUGAAAUCCCACGGCUUAACCGUGGAAUUGCUUGGUAUACUGCCGUUCUUGAGCCACUUAGGGGCAGCUAGAACAGAUGGUGGAGCGGUGAAAUGCGUAGAUAUCAUCUGGAAUGCCAACGGUGAAGACAAGCUGCUGGGAGUGUGCUGACGCUGAGGCACGAAAGCCAGGGGAGCAAACGGGAUUAGAUACCCCGGUAGUCCUGGCCCUAAACGAUGUCUACUAGAUCGUAGUCGCUCUGACGUGAUUACGGUCGAAGCAAAAGUGUUAAGUAGACCGCC
rnacentral:rRNA from 1 species